GACCGCUGGUGUACCGGUUGUGAUGCCAAUUGCAUUGCCGGGUAGCUACGUCGGGAAGAGAUAAGCGCUGAAAGCAUCUAAGUGCGAAACUCCCUCCAAGAUGAGACUUCCAAACAGGGCCGUCAGAGACGAUGACGUUGAUAGGCAGCAGGUGUAAAGUCAGAGAUGACAUAGCUGAGCUGUACUAAUUGCCCGAAAACUUACCGUA
rnacentral:rRNA from 1 species